rnacentral:rRNA from 1 species
CAGCAGCCGCGGUAAUACGUAGGGUGCGAGCGUUAAUCGGAAUUACUGGGCGUAAAGCGUGCGCAGGCGGUUAUAUAAGACAGAUGUGAAAUCCCCGGGCUCAACCUGGGAACUGCAUCUUAUACUGGAUAACUGGAGUGCAGUAGAGGGUAGUGGAAUUUCCGGUGUAGCGGUGAAAUGCGUAGAGAUCGGGAGGAACAUCAGUGGCGAAGGCGGCCAUCUGGGACAACACUGACGCUGAGGCACGAAAGCGUGGGGAGCAAACAGGAUUAGAUACCCCUGUAGUCCCUGUCUCUUAUCC